rnacentral:rRNA from 1 species
CCCUUAGAUGUUCUGGGCUGCACGCGCGCUACACUGAUGCGCUCAACGAGUUUAUGACCUUGCCCGGAAGGGUUGGGUAAUCUUUUUAAAACGCAUCGUGAUGGGGAUAGAUUAUUGCAAUUAUUAAUCUUCAACGAGGAAUUCCUAGUAAGCGCAAGUCAUCAGCUUGCGUUGAUUACGUCCCUGCCCUUUGUACACACCGCCCGUCGCUCCUACCGAUUGAAUGGUCCGGUGAAGCGUUCGGACCGUGGCCUUUGGACGGUUCGCCGUCUGUUGGCUGCGGGAAGUUCGUUAAACCUUAUCAUUUAGAGGAAGGAGAAGUCGUAACA